UGACGGUACCCUUUCACAUAAGAGGUUGCUAACUCUGUGCCAGCAGCAGCGGUAAUACAGAGACCUCGAGCGUUAUCCGGAUUUACUGGGCGUAAAGCGUCUGUAGGGGGUAUGUUAAGUUCCAAGUAAAAUCUUAAGGCUCAACUUUAAGUUCGCUUGGAAAACUAAUAAACUGGAGUCCAGCAGAGGUGCAUGGAACUUGCGGUGUAGGAGUGAAAUCCGUUGAUAUCGCAAGGAACACCAAAGGGCGAAGGCAUUGCACUGGGGCUGGUACUGACCCUGAGAGACGAAAGCGUGGGGAGCAAAACGGAUUAGAUACCCGUGUAGUCCACGCCGUAAACGAUGGAUACUAGAUGUUCGGGGAUUCGACCCCCUGGGUGUCACAGCUAACGCGUUAAGUAUCCCGCCUGGGAAGUACGGCCGCAAGGCUAAAACUCAAAGGAAUAGACGGGGAUCCGCACAAGCGGUGGAGCGUCUGGUUUAAUUUGAUAGUAAGCAAUGGACCUCACCAAGGUUUGACAUCCUAUGACAACCCUGGAAACAGGGCUUCCUUCGGGCAUAGUGACAGGUGCUGCAUGGUCGUCGUCAGUUCGUGCCGUGAGGUGUUCCGUUAAGUCGGGAAACGAACGAAACCCUCGUCGCAUGUUACAAAUUUCAUGCGAGACUGCCCGGGUCAACCGGGAGGAAGGCGGGGAUGACGUCAGAUCAGCAUGGCCCUUAUACCUUGGGCUACACAGGCGCUACAAUGGCCGGUACAAAGGGUUGCAAAACCGCGAGGUGAAGCUAAUCCCAUAAAGCCGGUCCAAGUUCGGAUUGGAGGCUGCAACUCGCCUCCAUGAAGUUGGAAUCGCUAGUAAUCGUGGAUCAGCCAUACCACGGUGAUACGUUCCCGGAUCUUGUACUCACCGCCCGUCACACCAAGAGAGUUGGUAGCUCCUGAAGCGUCGCAUUAG
rnacentral:rRNA from 1 species